CUCUACCUCUGGUGAAAAUUUCAUGCAAAUCGGAGAACCUCCGGCCCAAACCUGUCCGAUAAUUUAAAAAAAUGCCCUUAAGCUCGUUCAUUCCCGUUCUUAACAAGGCUGGAGUAUAGAAGUUAUCGCGGUUUUCAAGUUUCGAGUUGUUAGAUUUUUCUGUGCCCUUCGUUAACGUACCGAAGUAAAUUGUACGUGUUUCCGGUCAUUUUGACCGUGGUCCCGCGGAUAUUCUAUUCGUGCUUAAGAUUAUUCGUACAACAAGCGCUUAGGCGCUUUUUGUAUUACGGGCUGGUUGAGAGUUU